UACGUAGGGGGCAAGCGUUGUCCGGAAUUAUUGGGCGUAAAGCGCGUGUAGGCGGCUCGAUAAGUCUGCUGUGAAAGUCCAGGGCUCAACCCUGGAAUGCCGGUGGAUACUGUCGAGCUAGAGUCCGGAAGAGGCGAGUGGAAUUCCUGGUGUAGCGGUGAAAUGCGCAGAUAUCAGGAGGAACACCAAUGGCGAAGGCAGCUCGCUGGGACGGUACUGACGCUGAGACGCGAAAGCGUGGGGAGCGAACAGG
rnacentral:rRNA from 1 species